UCCAGKCAAAAUAUGAUAAAAAUAAUAAUUUUUCUGCAAGUUGUACUACCUUUGGUCGGCGACCAUUGUUUCAGCGAAAAAUGCCCACAGACGUCUGGGAAGGAUAGUGAGUAUAGAAAAAAGGAAUCUAAAUGGAGAGAGGUGAUGAAAUCGUUUAACGAUCUGAACUCAAAGCUUAAGGAUUUUCCCGAAACCAGAAAAAAACUGGAUGACCUCAAGGCCUCGUUGGAAGCGCAGAAUGAUAAAGAUAGCUGCAAUCAUAAAUUACCCAAAAUACCAUUUGAAAAAGUUAAAAAACUUUUCACUAUCACUAUAAACAGUGUUGACAAAUUGAAAA